UACAGAGGUCUCAAGCGUUGUUCGGAUUCAUUGGGCGUAAAGGGUGCGUAGGCGGCGCGGUAAGUCGGGUGUGAAAUCUUGGAGCUUAACUCCGAAACUGCAUUCGAUACUGCCGUGCUUGAGGACUGGAGAGGAGACUGGAAUUUACGGUGUAGCGGUGAAAUGCGUAGAUAUCGUAAGGAAGACCAGUGGCGAAGGCGGGUCUCUGGACAGUUCCUGACGCUGAAGCACGAAGGCCAGGGGGAGCAAAACGGGG
rnacentral:rRNA from 1 species